rnacentral:misc_RNA from 1 species
AACGCACCUUGCGCCCUUUGGUAUUCCGAAGGGCACACCUGUUUGAGUGUCGUGAAAUUCUCAACCCUCUUCACUUUUGUGAAUUGGGCUUGGACUUGGAGGUAUUUGCCGGGAACUCCUCGGCUCCUCUCAAAUGUAUUAGUACGUCUCGUUGCGAUGUACGCCUCGGUGUGAUAAUUAUCUACGCUGUGCGUGUGCUUGCUUCCUUUGGGAUGUGCUCUCAAACCGUCCAUCUAGGACAACGAUUAUAUACAUAAUCGAAACUUGACCUCAAAUCAGGUGGGACUACCCGCUGAACUUAA